AAAAAUAAAGAGAGAACUCAAAAAUAUUUUACUGCAUCCUUUUUACGUUUUCUCACCUAUUUAUUAUUUACGGUGUGAGAAAUCCACGAGUUCUAGCUUCACAGACGCGCGCGCGCUCUGUCCUCGAUCCUGUUAGAUAUUAUAAAGCCAUCAGAGCGCGGGCCCGAGCUCCCACCGCGACUGUUAACGCGCCACAGAACCGCAUGCGAAAGCGUCAGGAGCGUGCGUCUCGACAGAUCCCGCGGCGCCCGCGCACCUCCGCUCGUCCCUAAUCAUUAUCUGAUGACAGAAAUCUGCGCGCAUUACGGCGGCGGCGCUGUUUCUUAGCAACGCGCCAGGGCUAUUCAAACAAUUUCAUUAAAGUGUGACACCUCUUAGCAGGUGGCUGUGUGCGAGAGGAGAUAAACACAGAGGUGGAAGCGUCGGCGCUAUUUGCCAACAUCACAAUUGAUAACAUCAAUUCAGCAACGUGUUUACAAGCCCUAUGAAAUGAAGCGAGCGUGUAAGAGUCGCUGAACCCCAGACGCCUGCUGUCUGCUGCACAAACACACCCAGACGCGCAGGUAGCGCUGCUAUUCAGAUGGAGAACGCUUGAUUUACAUUCCAAUACCUUCAGUGCGUCCUGGGAUCCCGCUGCCUCUGAUGUAAUGCCAGGCAGGUUUACAAACACCAGAUCCUGAGGGAGGGAGCAGGAGAGCCAAGCUUCAGUGGUGGAUAAUGGGAAUGAUUUACCUCCGAUGCGCUGUGGAGAUUUCAGUGGACAGGUGACAGGUUUCAUCUGACAUCUGCUUACCUGAUGAAAACCUGAGCCGGCCGAAUGCACCGAUACAUCUGCCCGCUGAUCUGCUGACAUGAUGAGAGUGUGUCGAGGAUAUUGUUCAUCAGUAACCAACCUGAAGUUCCACAGGUGUGCGUGUCGGGGAUGAUGAAAUCUGCCGACCUCUGACCUCAACGCGGCUUCUCCCGCACAUGAGUCUUUUCUUGUCUUACACCUCCUGUAGUCAGAUGGAGGAGAACACAUCCCAUGAUUCUGUGCUCCAGCGAGACAAAACAACAAACAAACGUUCAAGCUGCACAGAUACACACACACACACACACACACACACACACACACACAGAGAGAGAGAGAGAGAGAGCAGUUUGCUUUGAAUGAAAAUAAGCUUGCACUUUAACCACAGAAGGUUUGUGUGGUGUCAUUUUCUAAGAGAAUGUAGUCUCAGUGGAUGGCAACAUGAAAUGUUCAUUAAUAAAAACAUGUUUAAUUAUAAAAUACCUCUAUCACAGGCACAUUAUUUAAAGCAUAAGUCAAUGUUUUGACAGCUGCAGUGUUUUAUUCUUCAGAAUGUGAAGAACAUUAAACACACACACACACACACACACACACACACACACACACACACACCACAAACUAUUUUAAAGAGCUUAUUUCAUCAGAGAUCAAUUUUCCUCAAUCUUUUAAGCUCAUUGUACUAUGAAACAUACUGUAACUGUCAGAUCCCAAAAAUUAAGUUAGGUCAUUUAUUAAAACUAAACUGCAC
ensembl:lncRNA